rnacentral:rRNA from 1 species
UACGUAGGGUGCAAGCGUUAAUCGGAAUUACUGGGCGUAAAGCGCACGUAGGCGGCUUUCUAAGUCAGGGGUGAAAUCCUGGAGCUCAACUCCAGAACUGCCUUUGAUACUGGGAAGCUUGAGUUCGGGAGAGGUGAGUGGAACUGCGAGUGUAGAGGUGAAAUUCGUAGAUAUUCGCAAGAACACCAGUGGCGAAGGCGGCUCACUGGCCCGAUACUGACGCUGAGGUGCGAAAGCGUGGGGAGCAAACAGG